UUUCUGUGGUCAGUCCCAUAUUCCCAACAGAAGAGGUUGGAGAGAGAGGGUCCCCAGUCCAAGAGGGCAGGAGAAGCAAUGAGCUUGCAGGAGAAUGUCACCGUGGCCAUGGCAGUGAUCACCAUCUUUGCCUCCAUUUACUUCUUCCACAAGGCCCAGAAAUGAGAAGACCUUGGGACCCUUAGACAUGAAGACCACACUUCUGCCUUGAAUAACCACUCUGGCCUCUUGGACUAAAUAAAUGUGACGGGCCUAUCCCGCCUGCUUCCUGCA